GCCUCUCCUCGCUUCUUUAUCCUCUCUGCAAGGCCGCAACCACCCAUCGGCUCCAACUUAUCUCCUCGCUCCCUUUUCUUCUUCAUCUGCAAGCAAACCAGAGGGAGAGAAAACCCUACCGAGCACCUCCACCUCACCAUGGCGCCGUCGCGUCAGGCCACCCCUCGCUGAGCUAAUGCCACCGGGAGAUGCGCCUCGUCGUCCUCAUCAUCCCCAACCAACGAAUCGAACCAAGACCUCUCCAAUCGCCCACAAAAUCGUCGUUUCCGUCCUCUUGCUGCCGGCGUCUUCUUCAAAAUUCGGCGCCGUUCCACCUCUCCUAGCCCGUCCGAGCUCACCAACGCGUUCCUGGAGCUCGACGACGGCGACACUCCGGCGACCCCCUGGACUCCGCACCGCCACCAUCAGCCUCCCCGCGUUCAGCCGCAUCCCCGAAGCCAAGUUCCCCGUCCCGGUUCGUCCAGAAUCAUUGGAUCGAUUCUCAACCUGACCUCCCUCCGCCAUGGCUGCAACCUCCCAGGAUCUUCCACGCCCCUUGUUGUUUCAAGUUGCAGCGUGUCCUGUAGAUGACACGAUACACAGUGCAUCCCAUCUGUUGUGUGGGCCUCAGCCAGAUCCUCCAGCACAGGCGUGUCGGCCUUCCUUCUGCCAGCAAGCAUUUGCUUCUUCCCGGAUAGGAUCGCGAAGUGGUGAUGUGAGAUACGACGAGUUCCCCGACAAGUUCUUCUGCAGCUUUUCACAGGCGAGCCCUCUCUCUUCACCUAUUUUACUCUCUCCCUCGCACUGCUAUCCUUAUGUUGCGAUUCUUUAUCGAGUCACGUGUCCUAUUCCACUUGUUUACCAUAAUAAUCCUAUAUGUAUCAUUCCUUAACCAUAGUCGUUGCUUGAUGUUUGAGCCCUGCGAGUCGUAGGCGUGUUUAGGCUUUGUUGUUUAUCUCGAUCUGUUAUCGGGAUAUGUUGGGUUGUUGGGAGGUUUUCACAUGCUAUAUCAAUUGUUGGAGAUACACAUGCUUUACUUAAUUGUUAAUAACUAAAAUUGAAAGCAGAGGCAUCUGUGAGCCCCUUUACGAAAGCAUCGGAACUUUGACUCGCUAAUGUCCCCUAGGACCCGAGUUCUUGUUAUCUGUUCCGAGAUUGAGCGCUCUACCCAUGCGUGGGGACGAUUAUUGGGACCCCCUCACCCAAUACCUUUUCUCAAGUCAGUUGAAAAGGGGGCCACAACCUUGGUUUUAUUUGCCUAUGCUAUGUAUGCCAUGCUUUACUUACUGUUGCCUUCGGGUGUUUACUUCACGUUGCCUUCGGGUGUUUAUAUUCUGUACUGUUGAUAACCCACAAGUAUAGGGGAUCGCAACAGUCUUCGAGGGAAGUAAAACCCAAAUUUAUUGAUUCGACACAAGGGGAGGUAAAGAAUACUUAUAAGCCUUAACAACUGAGUUGUCAAUUCAGUUGCACU